AAAACUCCAAUUUAACAACAUGCCAAACAACCCCCUGAAACCGUCACUCCCACCGGGAAACCGAGUACAAUCUUCAACCAAGUUUAUUAAAAACCUCACACUCUUGGGAAAUAAAUCAUAAUCUCUGCAAUUCCCCAGUUACCCUAACUACCCAUGGGAGACAGAGACAGACUCACCGAUCGCGACCGUGAAAGAGACCGCGACCGAGACCGAGACCGAGAAAGACGCCGCGAUAAAGAAGACCGCGACCGGGACCGGACCCGAAUCACCCGCUCUCGCACGCGCUCACCAGACCGCUUGCGUUCCCGAAACAGGCGCUCUCGUUCUCGCUCUCCAGACCGGUCUCAUAGAUCUCACCGCCGCCACCGCCACCAGAGGACUCCAUCCUUGUCACCGCCGCGAAAGCGACAUCGACCCGAGAGCGAUGACGAUAGAGAGAGGGAAAAGCAAAGAGCGGCGGUUUUCGAUUUUGUAGACGGGAUAGCGAGAGAGCAAUUAGAGAAGAACGAAAGUGAUAAUAAUGAUAAUGGAAUGGGAGAGGGUGGGGGUUUGAUGGAUGAGGAUGAGAUGGAGAUGAUGAAGAAAUUAGGGAUUCCAACGGGGUUUGAUUCGACAAAAGGGAAGCCGGUGCCUGGUGCGGAUGUUAGUGGAGUUAAAGCCGUUACGAAACGGCAGCCUAGGCAGUAUAUGAAUCGUAGAGGAGGGUUUAAUCGGCCCUUGCCCCUGGAGCGGAAUCGCUGAUACUGUUUUCACAAGAUUGCAAAUAUCUUCUAGCAUGAGAUGACUCAGCGGUGCUGUGAUCAUGGUUGUAUUCCAUCAGUAGGGCCUUGAUGAAAGACCUUAUAUGGAUGGUUUUCUGGUGAGAGCAAUUGCAGGUCAGCAUUCUGAUGAAUGGAGUCUUAGUGAUGGAUAUCAUGUGGAUAUUUAUUUUCUAAUCAUUUUACCACUUUUUGUCAUUUACUUGGCUAGGUAAUGGCUAGUAUUGUGUGAGCAUGAAGAUGGGUUUUGAACCCAAGGCCCCAAGUACCACACUGGUGAGGGUUUGGCACCUAGACUUGGUGUUUUUUUGUUGUAGAUGCUCAUACAAAUUGGUGACUACAUUCUUUCAUGGUAUUUACGACCUCUGAAUAAAGAUUUUGACAGUCGUUGAAUCAA